AUUUCAGAUGUGUUCGUAUCUCACCCCCAACCCCCAGGCCUCUAAGUCCACGACUGACCCUCAGAGUAUCUGUGAGAGAUUUUAAUACCAGUGAUGGUGAGGGGUUCAGUGUUAGAGCACACUUGCCUAGCAUGCAUAAGGCCCUGAGUUCAAGUCUUAGCCCUGAAAACACAAAAAAGAAAAGUUAAGAUAAAUUUAGGAGUUGCUAACACAGGCGUCAUCCUUGAACUUGUUAUCUGCCGAGGUAUGGAGUUCCCUGCUUCACUCAAGGACACCGUGGAAUGCUGACCAACACAUAUGGGACCACACCACUGAAGAGAAUAUUAGGACCCUGAGUCCUCUCACUUUGCUUCCUGACUGCUAUGAAGUGAACAGCUUUCUUUUGCAACGUGCUCCACACCAUGACAUGCUGGCCUUGCCAGAAGUCCAUAAAGUAAAACCUUCAAAACUACAAGCCAAAAUCAUAAAUCUCUGGUUAUUCCUGGUCCUUUUCUCUUGUAUUUGUUACCGGGAUGGGAAACCAGUCCAGUGAUAAACAUAGCUGAUUGGCCAGACCUACUAUUUACUCUUCUGUUUUCUGCUCUGCUUGAGGUUCUCAUCCCUCUGACUUCAUUGCCGCCUUGUGGGUUGUUUAAAUAUUUUAAAUGACUCCAUCUUACAUAAAGUGCUUCUGAUUGUU
rnacentral:lncRNA from 1 species